AUGCGCUGUUCCCCCCCGGCGGCGGCGCGGAUGGUGCGGCCCGGCCGGCGCGUCCCGUUGCCGGGCGCGGCGGUGCCGCCAUGGCCGGAGCGGGGCCGGCGCUGCCGGAUUCAGGAAGACUUUCAGAAGUUUACAAUGGAAAAAACCAACUUGAAAGGAAAUGCAGAAGCUGUGGAUAUUUGUGACCUCAGAAAAGCAACUGAAAGGACUGAACUUGGGCUGAGACAGCAGGUGGAAAUGGAUUUUAAAAUUAUGCUUGAUGCAGAGAAGGUGGAUAUUAAAGCUGGUUUAAAACAUCCCAAUGAUGAGACCAGGCUGCCACUUAUAGCUAAGAGAAAAUCUGCUCCUGUGGGCAGUCAGAAGACAGGGAAGGAUCCCACAGCCACCAGCCCUUGGGCUUUGCCUGCCUUUCUCUCCCUGGGCUCUCCCUUACCCCUGCUAGAAGAGGACAGCCCAAAAGGUGCCCUGAGCCUCACUGGGCAAAGGCUCAUCCUCCCAGGAGCACUGAGAACUCUGCCAGCCCCUCCUGCUGUGCCCAGAGCAGCUCCUUUCCCUGAAUUCCCCAGGCAGCACAAGAAAUCAGCUCUAGGAGAGAUCGGUAGCAGGCUGGACCCUGAGAACACAGGCACCAUCACCUUCCCAAAGGCAAAGGAAGCCAUUUAUGGCCCAUACUCCUCUAGUAAAGGGAGCAUUGCACCGCUCCCACCCAGCAAUUCCGUGCUUUCAACGAGGAAACCAAAGCCAGAGUGGAGGUGUCCAGCUGAGCAGUUGGAAUCUGCGGUGCACGUUCCCCCUCAGACACAGCCCCCACAAACAGCUCAACCCUUCCAGGAUCCCUGCUUGGACUGGGACACUGCUGUUCACCAGAAAGCUCCAGGUGUUCUGGCUCUCCAACACCCCCAUCAUUCCUCUUGGGGGAGCAUUGUGGGGUUUGUGGAACCCACAGAAAAGCUCCUCAAAGACCACUCUGUCCCCCUGGCCACCAUCAGCGGCCAAAAGUUGGCACAAAUCACCUCGGACUUGGAUUUUAAAGUUAAUCCCACCAAAAGUGACGCUUUGUCAGUGCUGAAGAGUCAUUCGGCUGUGGAGAAGAUCCUAAACCCAGCUGGCCGGAGCUGCAGAGGCCGGGGGGGCAGCGCAGGGGCUGCUGCAGGGAGGCAGAGGGGGGGUCCCAGCCCCGUGGCAGGCUCGGGCCAGCAGCAGCAGUGGGCAGCAGGUGUGAUCAGCACUUCCUGGCGCUCCCGGAGUCACCUGGCACGGCUGAGGAACGGCCUGAGGGAAGCGCGCCGCAGACACCUGGAGAAUUUCUACAGCAGGGCCAAGCAUCUGGCAGCCAACUGGAAUCGCAUCAGGACCUCCAGGAGGACUAUUAUCCAUAUCCCAUCAUUAGGGUAUUCCCAGCACAUCCGUGAGCACAUCCCUGACCUUGCUCUCCAGCAGAACCUGCAGAUGGGGAGGCUCUGUGACAUCCUGGAUGCCAACGUGGACGUCAUCUACAUCUGCCCCCUUGCUCUGAGUGAGGAGUUACUGCAGUAUUACAAUAAACUCCUGGGUCUGCAGGCAGCUGUUAGAUCUGGGAACCCCGAGGACAUGGCUGACCUGCAGGACAGGUUCAAAAUUCUCACCCCUGAAGCUAUAAACAGCUUCCCUGAGCACCACAUGUGCCUGGCCACUGUGCUCAAGUACAGCCCCAGGACGAUGCAGAGGCUGCAGGUUCUGCUCCAGGGCAGGGAUGCCUACAUGGUGGGAGGUGUUCCCCACCUGGAUGAUUUGGCUGUGGCCGACCAGCUCCAGGUGCCACUUUUGGGCUCAGAGCCAGCAGUGGCUCAGCUCUACAGCACCAAGUCUGGCAGCAAGAGAAUCUUUGCCAGUGCUGGAGUGCCAACCCCUCCUGGAGAGUGGGACAUCCGCAGCAGGGAGCAGCUGCUCCGUGCCCUCAGCCAGCUCAUCCUGGACAACUUGGAGGUGCAGCGCUGGCUCUUCAAGGUGGAUGAUGAGCAUGGAGGAGAUGGCACUGCCUUCUGUGAUGUCACUUCCCACCUGGAAUGCUACCCCUGGAUCCAGAGGGAAUGGCAGGGACACGGCCCCGAGGUGUGGAGUGAGAGCCAGGCUCGUGAGCUAGCUUUGGUGAAGAUCUCCCAGGAGCUGCCGGGCCUUUUAGCACAGCACGUACAGCCAGUCAAUGAGAAACGAUUCCCUACAUGGGAAAAAUUCCUCCAAACAUUUCUUACUCAAGGUGGGGUGAUCGAAGCCUUCCCGUCCUCGGGCAGCGUCACCAACCUGACGGUGGAUCUGCUGAUAGAGCCAACGGGGGAGGUGACGCUGCUGUCAUCUGGAGAUCAGCUCCACGCUGAGGGGCCCCUCAGGUCCUCUGGCACCACCAUCCCACAGCGUUCCGUGGACCCUGAGGUUCUCAAAGCUCUCUGCCUGAAAAUUGGGGAGGCCUGUAAAUCCAAAGGAGUGCUUGGCUACUUCUCCGUGGACUUCGUGGCUUUCACCCAUCCCCAAACAGGGGAGCAGCAGGUGUGGGCAACAGACCUUGACCUUUGCUACAGUGACCAGCUGGCCCUGAGUCAGCUCCUGGUGUACCUGACAGAUGGGAAUCUGGAUUGUGGCUCCAGCAUCCUGCAAGCACCUCUGGGAGCAAAGGAAAGCAAAGGCCAACGGCUUCAGCACGAGGGGACAAAACCUCCUGCCCCCAGCAGCCCCUGGUGUGCCGUGGCCAGCAGCCAGCUGAGGCAUUCCAGCCUCUCAGGGAUCUCCUACAACCUCCUCCUCCACAUCUGCAAAGCUCAUGGGAUUGGAUUUGACCUCCAGGAAAAACAGGGAACAGUUUUUGUGUUGUAUGAAGACCAGAAGCGGCACAGCCUGGGAAUGAUAACAAUCGGAGAGGAUCUCCAGGGGGUCCUCCUGACCUUUGCUCGCAAUCUCUUCAUCAUCCAUCAAGAAAUAUCAGCACCUAAUAUGCAAGGCGAGACCAAUUUUAAGAUGGCAAUUCGAGAUAUUGAAGCAAUUCUAGGAGUUACAGCAGGAAACAAACUGAGAUUGGAAGAAGAGCAACCUUGGGAAGCAGAUGCUCUGAAAGAAUAGUUAACAGAAAAUGUUCAAGUGCCUCAUUCCUUAUGCUUCUGGAAAUGCUUCCUCAUCUGAAACAAGUGACCUGAAAGUUCCCGUGGUGAGAGAGAUUUCACAGCGUGUGCAAAGUGUGAAAUGUGUUUUGAGGGGGGGAAAAAAGUUUUUAAUUACUACUAACACUUCUGAGCCUUGAGCUGAUGGAAGGAUUGAAAACUGCUCUGCAGUCUCUCACAUUCAGCUCCCAUGCUGCUGGUGCCAAAAAUGUGGUUUUUUAGCAACGCUGAAGAUUUCAAAUGGAAUUAUAAUAUUGUUAAAAAGUCAGGAAUAUAAUUCUGUUCACACUACUGGAUUAUUUAUUCCCACUCAUUAGAAGAGUAAUAGAGUUGUUGAACCGUAGAUUGAAUUUCAGAACAUGAGAUGGACGGAAAGAAAACAGAACAAGUGUGAAGCAAAAGAUUAAAGGUGGCCCAAGUGUGGCUUCUCAUCAGAAACUGCCCCCAAAAAUGCCAGAUUUGGGCAAAAGCUGGAGCUGGCUCCUCAGCUGCAGGGAGUGGAGGAAUGCCUGUGGAAGCAGGUGAGGGCCAGCAGGUUUGGCAGCAACUGCAGAGGAUGCAGACAAUUAAAAUAAAGGAUGUGUGCUCCCAGGAGUCAGAGCUGGAAAUGGAGAUGUUUGUUUAACUGGCAGCACUUGGUGGGUUUUGUUUCAGCCAGGAUUCAGUGCAGCACAGACCAGGUCAUUCUCCUGAAAGAGCUACCUGGAGUUGAUGAGACUCCAGGAAACUGGGUCUCCUGUUUUAGGUAGUUGGGUUUAAAGCCCCAGGUAAAAGAAAUAAAAAAAGCUUUUAGCCCACAUUUCCACAUUUAGAAUGACAACUCUGAGCACUGAGCAAAAGAAAAAAAAGCAGUCUAUCAAUACAACCAGUUCCAGAUGUCUUCUGAAAUGAAAUGUUCACCCUCCCUCUUUCCUGGAAGAUCUCCAGUACCUCAAGAUCAGGAGAAUUCACCAACUUCCCUCUAGGUUAAGGUAACAAAUCCCUGGAUUUUUAAGGCUAUCCUUAAAAGUUCAUAUCAAAUCCAUUUAACGAUGGGAUACUGUAGCUCUGAGGCACCCCCUGUUGCAUUGUAGAGAUCCCCUGUAUUUCAUUUUAGACUGCAGAUUUUGUUACAUUGAUGAAGAAAGAACAAAAGAUUAAGAACUACAAUCAUUGACAACCUUCAUUAAUGUAAUUAAUGAAAUACAACAGCAUCGUAUCUAUCACUCUGAGGUUCAAUACUUUAUUUCAACCCUUCAGCACAGUACCACAUUCCAACUUUUCUAUCCUCAGCCACUACUAAAGAAAGAUAUUAAACUAUAUGCUCUAUUAAUUACAGGGAGGUGAACGUGAAGGGGAAAUUUGUUGCUGGUGAUGAUUAAUAAUUACUUGUUCUACACACAUGUAGUACAGGAAAUAAACAGGGCAUAUUGCUGGGUAGUAAUUGAUUAAUUAGCAUGUUCAUAGUGGAUAGAACGUUAAAUGGUUCAAAACCUUAGCUUUUACUUAGAAAAAUGGAACGUAGGCUGUGAUUUUAAAGUAUUUCUUUGAAGGGGUCUGACACUUGAAGGUUUUUAGGGAGGUCUGCCAGGUAAACCCAGUGCAGCUGGAUACUCUCCUGAGCACAGGUGAGCCUGGGUGGUGCUGCAGGUGUUCCCUCAGCAGGUCAGUGCCAACAAAACCUUUCUAAAAACACAACUGUCCAUUUUUUGGUGAUGCUCCCACUCCUCCUCGCUCGGUGCAGGGCUCAGGGUGACCCGUGCCCUCAGCAUUGGCAGCUCCAGCACAGCCUGGGUGUGUCGGUCACAGAGUCCCAGGAUUGCUGAGGCUGGAAAAGCCCUCCAAGGUCACCCAGACCCAGCUGUGCCCGAUCCCCACCCUGUCCCCAGC